rnacentral:rRNA from 1 species
GGUUUGACGGUACCUAUAAAGGAAGCACCGGCUAACUCCGUGCCAGCAGCCGCGGUAAUACGGGGGGUGCAAGCGUUGUUCGGAAUUAUUGGGCGUAAAGCGCGUGUAGGCGGUCUGAUUAGUCUGAUGUGAAAGCCCUGGGCUCAACCCAGGAAGUGCAUUGGAUACUGUCAGACUUGAAUACGGGAGAGGGUAGUGGAAUUCCUAGUGUAGGAGUGAAAACCGUAGAUAUUAGGAGGAACACCGGUGGCGAAGGCGGCUACCUGGACCGAUAUUGACGCUGAGACGCGAAAGCGUGGGUAGCAAACAGGAUUAGAUACCCUGGUAGUCCACGCCGUAAACGAUGAGAACUAGGUGUCGCGGGUA